AUACAUAGUGGUUUUAUU
rnacentral:sRNA from 1 species